rnacentral:rRNA from 1 species
CCUACGGGAGGCAGCAGUGGGGAAUAUUGGUCAAUGGGCGCAAGCCUGACGCAGCAACGUAGCGUGAAGGAAGAAUGCCCUCCGGGUUGUAAACUUCGUUUAUAAAGAAGUAAAGUGAGGCACGUGUGCCUUUUUGUCUGUACUUUAUGAAUCAGGAACGCCUAGCUCCGUGCCAGCAGCCGCGGUAAUACGGAGGUUCCGAGCGUUAUCCGGAUUUAUUGGGUUUAAAGGGAGCGUAGAGGGGUUUGUAAGUCAGUUGUGAAAGUUCGCGGCUCAACGGUAAGAUUGCAAUUGAUACUGGGUGUCUGGAGUACAGGAGGGGUAGUGUGAAUUCGUGGUGGAGGUGGUAAAAGCUGAG